rnacentral:rRNA from 1 species
AGAAAAGCUGGUCAGCGAGUCAGCUCGCGUGAAUAGUACAGGACGUGGUCUUACGUUACUAAGUCAAUGAAGACCCAACAACUAGUUGACAUCGUUUAGGGCGUGGACUACCAUGGUAUCUAAUCCUGUUUGCUCCCCACGCUUUCGUGCAUGAGCGUCAGUAUUGGCCCAGGGGGCUGCCUUCGCCAUCGGUAUUCCUCCACAUCUCUACGCAUUUCACUGCUACACGUGGAAUUCUACCCCCCUCUGCCAUACUCUAGCCCGCCAGUCACAAAUGCAGUUCCCAGGUUAAGCCCGGGGAUUUCACAUCUGUCUUAGCGAACCGCCUGCGCACGCUUUACGCCCAGUAAUUCCGAUUAACGCUUGCACCCUACGUAUUACCGCGGCUGCUGGCACGUAGUUAGCCGGUGCUUAUUCUUCCGGUACCGUCAUCCGCCACGGGUAUUAACCACGACGUUUUCUUUCCGGACAAAAGUGCUUUACAACCCGAAGGCCUUCUUCACACACGCGGCAUUGCUGGAUCAGGCUUUCGCCCAUUGUCCAAAAUUCCCCACUGCUGCCUCCCGUAGGAGUCUGGGCCGUGUCUCAGUCCCAGUGUGGCUGGUCGUCCUCUCAGACCAGCUACAGAUCGUCGCCUUGGUAGGCCUUUACCCCACCAACUAGCUAAUCUGCCAUCGGCCGCCCCUGUAGCGGGAGGUCUUGCGAUCCCCCCCC